rnacentral:tRNA from 1 species
ACGGAUAUGCCGGAAUUGGUAGACGGGAUGGUCUUAGGAACCAUUGAAAAAUACAUUCGUAUAGGUUCGACCCCUAUUAUCUGUA